rnacentral:rRNA from 1 species
UGGUUGAUCCUGCCAGUAGUCAUAUGCUUGUCUCAAAGAUUAAGCCAUGCAUGUAUAAGUUCACACCUUUAUAUGGUGAAACCGCGAAUGGCUCAUUAAAUCAGCUAUGGUUCCUUAGAUCUUACAUCCAUACUUGGAUAACUGUAGUAAUUCUAGAGCUAAUACAUGCCAAAAUGCCCUGACUUCGGAAAGGGUGGAUUUAUUAGAACAAAACCAACCGGUUUACCGUUUGGCUUUGAUGACUCUGGAUAACUUUUCUGAUCGCAUGGCCUUGAGCCAGCGACGUAUCUUUCAAAUGUCUGCCCUAUCAACUAUCGAUGGUAGGUGAUAUGCCUACCAUGGUUAUGACGGGUAACGGGGAAUCAGGGUUCGAUUCCGGAGAGGGAGCCUUAGAAAUGGCUACCACAUCUAAGGAAGGCAGCAGGCGCGCAAAUUACCCACUCUCAGCUAGAGGAGGUAGUGACGAAAAAUAACGAUGCGGGACUCUUUGAGGCUCCGCAAUUGGAAUGAGAACAAUUUAAAUCCUUUAACGAGGAACAAUUGGAGGGCAAGUCUGGU